CAUGGCUUCCACGAGCAAUAUACAAUAUACACAGGCCACAACAGACAUACUGUACAAGGUUUACAGCACAUUUAACCAGAGCGUUCUACUGGAUGGGAGCACUCUAAACCAUCAGCGACUGUUUCUCCUCAUUGUGCCACAUCGGACACUACUGCACAGACACCUCCUGAGCUCAAGUGGACACCUGCAGGGCUUCCCUUUGACAUCCAGCAGACGGCAGCUUGUAAAGUAUUGUCAAUUUACUGUCAACAUGGCUGGACUUAACCAGAUAUGUGAAUUAUCGAAUUUGAAAUAACGAAUAACAAUAGCCUACCAUUUUAACAUAUGCUAUAUCAUACGAUAGUCCUUUCUGGGGUCAAAAAUAUGUUGUAGUUGUUUACCUGUA